rnacentral:lncRNA from 1 species
GAAAACACAAGCGUGAAGCCUCCAUUUGGGAAGCCUGCAGAAGCCCCAAUCCAAUCACAGCACUGCCAGAGGAUCUUAGAAGUUGAAUAUCAAUUUAAUAACACAUCCUGUUUGAGAUUGGGUUCUAACUAUAUUGCCCAAGCUAGAUUCAAACUCUUGGGCUCAAGUGAUCCUCCUGCCUAAGACUCCUUAGUAGCUUGGAACUUCAGAACCAUCUGUCAAUGGCUACUUCAUACUUUAGAUGCUCCAAGAGGAAAAAGUCAUUUCAGAAUUGUAUCCAUAACCCAGUUUCAUUGAAGAUGGAGUCUUCCUUCAGGUAUUCAGUUCCUUGAUGUGUCUUUUGAAAUUCAGGGAGAGAAAUAAGGUUUAAUUCAGUAUCAUUUUGAUAGUUUACACAUUUUCCUACUGGACUUUAAGAAGUUCUGGAAGUCCG